rnacentral:rRNA from 1 species
GAGUUUGAUCCUGGCUCAGAACUAACGCUGGUGGCUGUGUCUUAGUCAUGCAAGUCGAACGGGAAAGCACCUUCGGGUGUGAGUAAAGUGGCGAACGGGUGAGUAACACGUGGGUAACCUGCCUUUGAGUGGGGAACAACCCCUCUAACGAGGGGCUAAUACCGCAUAAUGCAGCGGCUCCGCAUGGAGACAGUUGUUAAAGGGGCAGCUUCGGUUGUCUCGCUUGAAGAUGGACCCGCGGUCCAUUAGCUUGUUGGUGAGGUAACGGCUCACCAAGGCAACGAUGGAUAGCCGGCCUGAGAGGGUGUACGGCCACACUGGAACUGAGAAAGGUCCAGUCCCCUACGGGGGCCAGCAGUCUAGAAAUUUGCGCAAUGGGCGAAAGCCUGACGCAGCGACGCCACGUGGAGGAUGAAGCCCUUAGGGGUGUAAACUCCUGUCAGAAGGGAAGAAUGCAGGAAAUAACUUUUCCUGUUUGACUGUACCUUCAGAGGAAGCCCCGGCUAACUUCGUGCCAGCAGCCGCGGUAUAC